rnacentral:snRNA from 1 species
CUACUUAACUGGCAGGGAGACACCAUGAUCACGUAGGUGGUUUUCCCAGGGUGAGGGCUCCGCCAUUGCACUUUGGGCUGUGCUGACCCCUGCGAUUUCCCCAAGUGCGGGAAACUCGACUGCAUAAUUGGUGGUAGUGGGGGACUGCGUUCGCACUCUCCCCUG